rnacentral:lncRNA from 1 species
ACCCUCUUGCCCGGUCCCCGGGAGGGCCGGUCCGCUCCUCCCGGACGCCGAGGACCUACCACCGCGACUUCGCCCCGCCCGGCGCGGGCCCAGGACCCUGAUGUCGCUUUUGAACAGCCCCUGCACCUGGCAGCCAGCGAGCUACUGUAGUAGGCAUUGCCGACUGUUUGCAUACCGGAUGGGAGUGACAGUGUAAUAGAAAAACAAGCAAGAAACCUUUUAGCGCUGGAAUCCCAUGGGCGGCUUCUGUGAGAAGCUCCUGCUGAGUGACCGCUGGGGGUGGAGUGACGUGAGUGGGCUCCAGCACCGGCCGCUGGACAGGGUGGCACUGCCCUCGCCGCACUGGGAGUGGGAGUCUGACUGGUACGUGGAUGAGAAUUUUGGAGGUGAACCCACUGAGAAAGGGGGGUGGACGUACGCCAUCGACUUUCCCGCCACCUACACGAAAGACAAGAAGUGGAAUUCUUGUGUGCGGCGCCGGAAGUGGAUCCGGUACAGGAGAUACAAGUCCCGGGACAUCUGGGCCAAGAUCCCCUCGAAGGAUGACCCCA